rnacentral:rRNA from 1 species
GACGAACCGUGCGAACGUUGUUCGGAAUCACUGGGCUUAAAGGGCGCGUAGGCGGACCACCAAGUCCGGGGUGAAAUCCUUCGGCUUAACCGGAGAAUUGCCUGGGAUACUGGUGGUCUUGAGGGAGGUAGGGGCACGCGGAACUUCCGGUGGAGCGGUGAAAUGCGUUGAUAUCGGAAGGAACGCCGGUGGCGAGAGCGGCGUGCGGGCCCUCUUCGGACGCUGAGGCGCGAAAGCCAGGGGAGCGAACGGG